CUACACAUGCAGUCGAACGAAGUAGCAAUACUUAGUGGCAGACGGGUGAGUAACAUGUAGGUAUCUGCCCUUUGGCCUGGAAUAACACGAGGAAACUUGUGCUAAUACCGGAUAAGUCUUUACGGAGAAAGCUUUAUGCACCAUUGGAUGAGCCUGCACUUGAUUAGUUUGUUGGUGGGGUAAUGGCCUACCAAGACUGUGAUCAAUAGCUGAUUUGAGAGGAUGAUCAGCCACAUUGGGACUGAGACACGGCCCAAACUCCUACGGGAGGCAGCAGUGGGGAAUCUUGCACAAUGGAGGAAACUCUGAUGCAGCGAUGCCGCGUGAGUGAAGAAGGCCCUUGGGUUGUAAAGCUCUUUCGUCGGGGAAGAAAAUGACUGUACCCGAAUAAGAAGGUCCGGCUAACUUCGUGCCAGCAGCCGCGGUAAUACGAAGGGACCUAGCGUAGUUCGGAAUUACUGGGCUUAAAGAGUUCGUAGGUGGUUGAAAUAGUUGGUGGUGAAAUCCCAGAGCUUAACUCUGGAACUGCCAUCAAAACUUUUCAGCUAGAGUAUGAUAGAGGAAAGCAGAAUUUCUAGUGUAGAGGUGAAAUUCGUAGAUAUUAGAAAGAAUACCGAUUGCGAAGGCAGCUUUCUGGAUCAUUACUGACACUGAGGAACGAAAGCAUGGGUAGCGAAGAGGAUUAGAUACCCUCGUAGUCCAUGCCGUAAACGAUGUGUGUUAGACGUUGGAAAUUUAUUUUCAGUGUCGCAGGGAAACCGAUAAACACACCGCCUGGGGAGUACGACCGCAAGGUUAAAACUCAAAUGAAUUGACGGGGACCCGCACAAGUAGUGGAGCAUGUGGUUUAAUUCGAAGAUACGCGCAGAACCUUACCAACACUUGACAUGUUCGUCGCGACUCUAGAGAUUAGAGUUUUCGGUUCGGCCGGACGAAACACAGGUGCUGCAUGGCUGUCGUCAGCUCGUGUCGUG
rnacentral:rRNA from 1 species